CAAGAAGGAAAAAACAGUUCUGCAAGCUGGAACCUUCCUUGUGGCUUGUACCUUGAAAUGGAAAGUCACAGGGACAGGAGAAGACAGGAAGACAGAUCUGCUCUGCCAUACCCUCAGGAAACCUGUGCCUUUUAUAGUGCUGUGACUUGGAAAGCGCAAAGCAGGGAUGGAAAGGGCAGUUCUGACUGGCCCCAGUUCCCAUAUGGACUGAAUUGCCUCUGUCCUCAAGCAGAUCCAGUGGUGUUGGAGCAAGAAAGAAAAGCCUAUAGGGCUACCGCUCACACACCUGUAGUGAACAAGAGGGGAAAGCAGCUCACUGCGGUCUAAGAUGUAGUUUUCUUCCCUUCUAAGUUGCAUAAAGGCUGUCAUUGAAGUGCAUUUUGUGGAAUGGUGUUUCUGUAUGACUUUUAGAAGAAAUGCUGAAAUACUACAAAAAGCCUGCACAAAAUAAUCCAUUUUACCUGGAGUAUAACCCCCUAAUUCUGGCUGGCCUGCUUUAGGAGCUGGUGCUUGAAAUGCUCCAGCAGUUCAGGUGCAAUCUUGUCAGCGGUCAAGUUCUUGGCAUUCAAGAUUCCUUCAUGGGCUUCCUGGAAGAGCUGCUUCCCCACCGCUUCUUCCACCCGCCUGCGCCACUCUGCUAACUUAGGCCUCUCCUCAAAGAGGUUGUAGCCAGCACCUACAGGCUGCAGAGAGAGAGCAAGAGAACCUGGGAGUGAGUCAGUGCAUUUACCAGGGAUGGGACCAGAAUGAAGCACAGAUAUGCUUUUGGCUCAAGGCAGCAGACAGUCAUCACAUUAGUAAGGAGUUCUUAGCUAGUAGGAAGCAAGUUUUGUCAUCCUCAGCAGCUGCUGUCCCCUGGGGUGUGCAGUGAAAGAGAACUGCCGUGGCUAACCCAAGAACUGUCUAAUGCAGAACACAGAGGUCCGUGCACACCAACACAUCUCUUCCAAAUAUCUAUACUUUCUCUGCCUAGUUUGUAAUUUAUCUUUUUUUCUGAGGAAUUUUGGCAUACUUCUAUUGAGAGAACUGUCUUCCAAGCCGGUGUGCCCUGGCAAACUCAGUUAUGGUCAAAGUCAAAAAGGAACAGGAUUUAACUCCACUAAGGAGUAAACUGCAGGGAGAAAGAUCUGCCAUUAAAGAGGUGGUGGUGCUGCAGCCACACCUUGGCCUGGCCUGCCCACAACCCAGCUUACAUAUCCAACAGUGCUGGGGCUGAUGCUCACCUGCAUGAGCUCCACCAGUGCUACAAGGUCUGCCAGGGAGAUCUUGCUGCCUGCGAUGAAGGGCUUGUCCUGCAAGAACUUCUCCUCAAACUGCUUCAGGACGAUGUUCAGCUCUUCAGUGACAGCCUCCAGUUUCUCUGGAGGAGGUGGCUGGCCUGUGAGGAGAGGCAGCAGCACCUGGUAGGGAGAAGAAACAAGUCGCUUUUUACAUAUUUCCCUCCAAACAUCGUCCACACCCUCCUACUGCCUUCUUCUAAGGAUCUCUCACCAGCCAUGCACAAGAACUGGUACUGCUAAUCUCCUUCUGCAGAUUAACAUUAAUGUCAGUCAUUAAUUCCUGCCCGUCCUUGUCUCCUCCCUAGAAAGUCUGGAGUUCCAACCACAAGAGUCUCCUCUCAAGGGAAGGCUGCAUCAUCUGCAAGAAGUGGCAUUUUGUUUUCCCAUAAGAGGUUCAUUCUUUCCAUGAAGCUGGGCAGAAAGCAGUGAGCUGUGUCUCGUGUUAGCUGCUCACCCAGGAUGAAUUUGCUCUGGAUCUCAAUUCCAGAUCUAGUUUUGUUCCUAUCUGUCACAUGGCUUGUACAUUUGCUUAGAAAGGCCCUGCACACAGAAGGUACUUCCUGAGCCAUUGCACUCAACAGCUCUGAGCACUUAGUUUUUGGUAUAUAAUCGUCUUACCUUAGUUAAGAACAGCUUGCUCCCCUUCCCACGAAUGUUGAUGUGCUGCCAUGACAAGUACUCAUCAACCCUAGCCCUCUUCUGCAGGUCAGUUGGGUACCAAUGAUCAGGAGUCUUGAACUUCCGAGCCAGGUACAGGAGGAUUGCAAUGCUGCCCAGAGAGCAAGGCAGGCCGGUGAGCUGAUCAUCUGAGAUUAAAGCACCUCAUCCUUUCUUCUUCCCCCAGAUUUUGCACUGCUGGACCAGCAGCAACACAAACCCGAUCUGAGUCAGGCAGAAGGGCAGGACACACAGUUGCCAGCGAGGCAUAGCACAUGGGAGAGUCUGUGCUGGCUUGACUGGCUGCUUGUGGACAGCAAUUACUUGAUACAUCAGCCCAGCGAGGCAGAUGUGGCCUGCUGGUGCAGUUACUUCAUCAACAUUUUUGACCAAAUAUUUGCCACAGAAUGAGUUUAUAUCAAAUUCGAGCUUUGUAUUGCCUGGCCAUCCAGCAGAAGGUGCCUUGCAUCAGAUUUACUGCAUUGACCUACAGACUCCAGCUGAAGGCAGAGAGCAGGAGGACACAUGGACAGGUAUUUUGGCUUAAAAACAUUGCCUAUAUGCAAGCUAGCUCCAAGCAGCAGCUCACAGAUUUUUCCACAAGCAAUGCUGUUUGAGUUGCUUACAUGGGAAAGCUUCUCUUGAAACACAGGUUUAUUUUAUGUACAGGUGGAACAGAUAGGAAGGAGGCAGACAACUACCUGGGCUGGAGUCCCACCAGAGACCAAACUGUGCACUGGCAGAAUCCUAGCAUUAGGAUAAACAAUACUGCAGUAGGAGUUUGAGCUUAUUUGAGCCUCACCUCUCUGCUAAGGUGAAAGACCCGUCCUUUAGCGCGGGCACCUUCAUCAGGAUGUUCACCUUCCGGAACUCCUCUGUCCUGUGCUGCCCUGAGGAGAGAAAUGAGAAGUUUUACUUGGGCCUGAUGCUCAGGACCUGCCUGCAAACACCUGAGGAGCCCGCAGGGACCAUUUGGCCUCAAUUUCCUGGUGUUGAUUGUACAAAUACAGUCUUGUUCAAGUUCAUAAGCAAUCAAAAAGUGCCACAGGGUGAAUACGGGUUUGCCCUGUGAUGUCAGCUUACUUGCUUAUUGCCUGCUCUACCUCUCGAUGAAGGUCAGAAUAGUUAAGAGUCCUUUCAUACCAACAGUGCUUGUCAACUCAGGGCUCUAUGAACUCUAAGUUUGUGCCUGGAGGUACCUGUCCUGUACAAACCCAGAGUAAACACCAAGCUCCUUGGAAGAAAGUGAUCUUGAUAUCAGAGACAUGAACCACAAGGACAGAGAGAAAUCAAGCAUUCAGGUCCCUGGUGCCUGCACUGUCUUGCUCCACUGCCUUCACUAUCUUUGCAAGCCUGUCCUCAACCCCCUCCAAACAACCUGACCACGAACAGCUUGACCCAAUGAAACCCCCAAACGGGUGGCCGGCUGUCCUGCCCUACCUGCACACAGGGAGACAUCAGCAAGCUCUGCGCAUUAGUAUCCUUCCUGAGGGGCUGUUAACCUCUUCUAAGAGGAGGAGAAAAGCUGCCCUGCAGCCACCACUGCUGCUUACCAGAGUGCAAAGUUUUCUAAGGAAGUCAAAUGAGAGAGCAAGAACCGCACACCUCGGCUGUCACCCACACGUGAACGUCCCACCUCUGUUGAUUCUUGUUUCCCAUCUAAAUGAGGAACGGCCUCAGACCUAGCACAGCCUGAGUGCUUCUUCUCAGAAAAGUGUUCUUUUUUUCAGAGGCCUAUUUUCUGCUGGGGUGGGGCCUAUAUAAAAGAUAACGCACUAUCUCUGCAGAGUCGUAUUUGUUGC